rnacentral:tRNA from 1 species
GAGGGUAUAGCUCAAGUGGUAGAGCACAUGUUUACCAUGCCUGAGGUCCUGGGUUCAAUCCCCGGUACCUUCU